UAUUUUAAUAGCUUAUAGAAAGUGUAAUAUUGAAGAUAUUAGGAAGGCUUUUAGCCUUAAAAUAU
rnacentral:tRNA from 1 species